rnacentral:rRNA from 1 species
UACGGAGGGUGCGAGCGUUGUCCGGAAUCACUGGGCGUAAAGGGCGCGUAGGCGGCUCGACAAGCGUGUGGUGAAAGUCCGGGGCUCAACCCCGGAUCGGCCGUGCGGACUGUGGGGCUGGAGCACUGUAGAGGCGAGCGGAAUUCCGGGUGUAGCGGUGGAAUGCGUAGAGAUCCGGAAGAACACCGGUGGCGAAGGCGGUCUGCUGGGGUGAGGCUGACGCUGAUGCGCGACAGCGUGGGGAGCAAACAGG